GAUGAACGCUGGCGGCGUGCUUAACACAUGCAAGUCGAACGCUGAAGCUCCAGCUUGCUGGGGUGGAUGAGUGGCGAACGGGUGAGUAUCACGUGAGGAACCUGCCCUUGACUCUGGGAUAACUGCGGGAAACUGUAGCUAAUACCGGAUACGACCCUCGGCGGCAUCGCCAGGGGGUGGAAAGAAUUUCGGUCAAGGAUGGACUCGCGGCCUAUCAGCUAGUUGGUGAGGUAACGGCUCACCAAGGCGACGACGGGUAGCCGGCCUGAGAGGGUGACCGGCCACACUGGGACUGGGACACGGCCCAGACGACUACGGGAGGCAGCAGUGGGGAAUAGUGCACAAUGGGCGCAAGCCGGAUGCAGCAACGCCGCGUGAGGGAUGACGGCCUUCGGGUUGUAAACCUCUUUUAGUAGGGAAGAAGCGAAAGUGACGGUACCUGAAAAAAAAGCACCGGCUAACUACGUGCCAGCCGCCGCCGUAACAC
rnacentral:rRNA from 1 species